UCCGGCCAAUCGGAAUCCGGGAAGGGGGCGGGACUUCCCUUCCAAACUUCUUAACACCCUUCCUCUCCCUGCUGGAAGAAAAGUUUAGAACUUCAGCCGCGGGACUGGCGUAGGAAGAACACACAGCUUUCAACUUCCCUGCCGUCGGCCGGUGUUUUACUACACAAAUCCCAGUGCCUGGAAACAACCACACGCAUCUAAACUCCGGAAACAUACCACAGCCUCUAAGGAAUAAGGCUGGGAGAAUGAACCAGUCAAGGAGAAAGACUGAAGAAGGACUGAAGAAGGGGGACACAGAUGGGAGUUAAGCUCUAGAGAAGGUCUUCUGUGGAAGCAUGCACUGGAAAAUAUCCACCCACUGGCAAAGAGAUGCCUGGGCACAGGCGUCAAGUGGGAAACAGAUGAAUCACCAGUCAUUGAUCCUAUGCUGAUGCCGUGGAAAAAAGUCUAAUGCCAGUGGUGUUCUAACGCCAGUGUCAAAGCCCUGGAGCAGGAGGACGCUGGCUGGAUUCUCUAUGGGCUGGGAGUUGGAACUUCAAAAAGAAUUCACCAUCUUCUCCCGGCAACAGAAGAUGUAGGAGCCAGGACCUGGAGGACAUGUUUGAUGUUUUCCCCUCAUUCUUUCUUCGUGGACGCAAAGUACAGCGAGUUUACAGUGGCGAUGAGUAAGUAAGGUAUCAAGUGGAAAACCCCAGAAGGGUUUUUAAAACAGGCUUCCUAGAGCUGAGGAGAGCAUACAGCUCUAUUCAUGACGGUGUGACCUUCUGGACAAGCUGAGAUCUGGAAUGGGAAACCGGAGCUCCGCCUCCAGCCUUGUCCCUCACGGGGAAAGUCACUUCCCCCUCUCUGGGCCUCGGUUUCCCUCCCUGCCCACCUCAAAGGGUUUGGGGGAAGAGGGGAUGAGAGAAAGGAUGUGAACGGGCUUUGAAAAGAAGGCUCAAGAGCUGUGUAAAUGGAAGGGGUGACUGUUUGUUUUCACAAGUGGAGUUGUCUCUUUGCCAUUGCCACUGGAGAGGCUGUUCGGGCCGUAAGUAUUUGACCUCUGAGCUUUGCUCAGACUGGAGCAGCUGUGGGUGGCAGGAAUGCAGGGAGGGAGAAAAUAUCAGAGUCAGCCAGCAUGGGCCUCAGUCUCAGAGUUGGCCUGGCUUCUAGAGGGGAAAAAAAAUCUCAAGUAGCUCUUUGUGGUCAUGAAGAAUACACUUAUGUGAUUGUUUUUAAGUAUUUCAGACUCUGAAAAAAAGCUUUAAGGAACCCAUCGCAAUGGACAACAGUAGAGUUACUCAUUCAACUUCGCGGGAACAAAUCCACGUGAAAUGGAGAAUGGAAGAAAUUAGCUAAAUAAUUCAAUCCCAUCUUCAGUCUAGCAUGCAGGUGCACACACACACGCGCGCGCGCACACACACACACACACACACACACACACACACAUGGAUUAUUUCACCCACAUUGAUUCAGAGUGUGGUUUUAAUUCUUGCCCCUUUCAAUCGGGUUAGAACCUUUCCAGUCUUCAAAGUUCUUCUCAAUCCUUUGUCAUUUUAUACUCAGUGCCCAGCACAGUUCCUGGCUCAUAGUAGGCACUCAGUAAGUUUCUGAUCAAUGACAUACCGCGUGAUCUGGAGUAUACUCUUACCGACACGGCCUCCAAUGAACCACAAGUCUCUGAAUCCAUGUGGAGCCCUCUCCACACUGACUCUGGGCUUAAUUUGCUUGCCUGGAGAGAUUUUAGUAAAUGCAAUACAAACAGGCACGUGAACGGCACAUUGGAACAUCACACUUGUGAAGAAGCCUGGGCCAGCCUGCAGGGGACACGUGGCCAAGUCAACAGCCAGCUUCACUACUGCUAGCCAUGUGAGUAAGGCUGUUUUAGACCCUCCAGUCCCCAUCAAGCUGCCAGAUGACUGCAACCAGACAAAAUCAGCAGAACGGCCCAGUUGAGCUCAGUUCAAGUGCUGACCCAUAAAAUCAUGAGAAAAUAUAUUGUAGUUUUAAGCCCGUGAAUUUUGGGUUGGCGUGUCAUACAAAGACAAUUGAGACGGCACUUUUUUUUAAAAAGUGCAUGGAUAGAUACCUUUAGACUGGAAAUGACAAAUAUGUAACAUCUCAUCUAACACAUUUAAUGGAUUGGUACUGUCUUCCUGGAGGGCCAUGUGGAGGGGAACUUGAAGUCCCAGUUACUAGAAGAGAAAGCCAUGAUUCAUUAGUAAUGGGUGCAAAGAACGCGGAUGGGAAUAGUGGCAAUAUGCCUGCCUUAUUUUUGCCAUCUUUGUUCCCUUUUAUCAAUCAGGGGCCAGCGAACAAGGAAAGAAUUAUCAAAGUGAAAUGCUGAGUGGGCCAUUUGGUAAGGAGAUUUUCCACUGAGUUAGGGCACAGCUCCCAGGGACAGUGAUUAUGAAGGUAGAACUCCUUGAGUGAACUCAAGCAGACGUUAUUUAUGUCACUGGAGAACACAAUUCCAUGACUGCAGAAACCCACAAUUUGGAGCUCUGGUUGAUUUCCCAGGUUUGCUAGGGGGCAGUGUCCAAGUGGCUUUACUCUGCCCACAGAUCUGGUCAUCAGCUUCAUAGGUACAGAAACUCGGUGUUUUUGGUGCAUCCAGAGGUGGUCGGGCUCUUGGGAACAGCCCUACAAGAAUCACCUUCAUGCGAUUCCGUCAGCAAAAUAAAAUGCAAGGACUUUCCAAAGACACAACAACCUUAUUGGCUCGCCAGACUCAGUUAGUCAUC